AGUGAACGCUGGCGGUAGGCCUAACACAUGCAAGUCGAACGGCAGCACAGUAAGAGCUUGCUCUUACGGGUGGCGAGUGGCGGACGGGUGAGGAAUACAUCGGAAUCUACUUUUUCGUGGGGGAUAACGAAGGGAAACUUACGCUAAUACCGGAUACGACCUACGGGUGGAAGCAGGGGAUCUUCGGACCUUGCGCGAUUGAAUGAGCCGAUGUCGGAUUAGCUAGUUGGCGGGGUAAAGGCCCACCAAGGCGACGAUCCGUAGCUGGUCUGAGAGGAUGAUCAGCCACACUGGAACUGAGACACGGUCCAGACUCCUACGGGAGGCAGCAGUGGGGAAUAUUGGACAAUGGGCGCAAGCCUGAUCCAGCCAUACCGCGUGGGUGAAGAAGGCCUUCGGGUUGUAAAGCCCUUUUGUUGGGAAAGAAAAGCAGCAGGUUAAUACCCCGCUGUUCUGACGGUACCCAAAGAAUAAGCACCGGCUAACUUCGUG
rnacentral:rRNA from 1 species